rnacentral:rRNA from 1 species
UACGUAGGGUGCAAGCGUUGUCCGGAAUUAUUGGGCGUAAAGCGCUCGUAGGCGGUCUGUCGCGUCGGCUGUGAAAACUCGGGGCUCAACUCCGAGCUUGCAGUCGAUACGGGCAGGCUAGAGUUCGGCAGGGGAGACUGGAAUUCCUGGUGUAGCGGUGAAAUGCGCAGAUAUCAGGAGGAACACCGGUGGCGAAGGCGGGUCUCUGGGCCGAUACUGACGCUGAGGAGCGAAAGCGUGGGGAGCAAACAGG